rnacentral:lncRNA from 1 species
AUAAAUAAGAUUGAUGCUACUUUGCUAGAGUUAUUGAAUAUGUUGGUGACUGCAGACGGCAACUUGAAAAGUUUAAGGGGCAUAAUUUUGGCUGUAGAGCAGGCUUCCUCCAAAAGAAAGUCUUCUUUCAAGAAGAAGAAAAAGCCCGCAAAGAAGUAAAAGAACGAGGCCAAGCCCAAGAAAUAGGUUUCGAAGAAGACCGACGAUAAAGAAAAAUAUUUUCAUUGCAAUGUCAAAGGCCAC